rnacentral:rRNA from 1 species
AGUGAACGCUGGCGGCAGGCCUAACACAUGCAAGUCGAACGGCAGCACAAGAGAGCUUGCUCUCUGGGUGGCGAGUGGCGGACGGGUGAGGAAUGCAUAGGAAUCUGCCCAUUUUUGGGGGAUAACCUCGGGAAACCGGGACUAAUACCGCAUACGACCUACGGGUGAAAGCAGGUGAUCUUCGGACCUUGCGCAGAUGGAUGAGCCGAUGCCGGAUUAGCUAGUUGGAGGGGUAAAGGCCCACAAAGGCGACGAUCCGUAGCUGGUCUGAGAGGAUGAUCAGCCACACUGGGACUGAGACACGGCCCAGACUCCUACGGGAGGCAGCAGUGGGGAAUAUUGGACAAUGGGCGCAAGCCUGAUCCAGCCAUGCCGCGUGUGUGAAGAAGGCCUUCGGGUUGUAAAGAACUUUUGUUGGGAAAGAAAAGCAGCCGGCUAAUACCCGGUUGUCAUGACGGUACCCAAAGAAUAAGCACCGGCUAACUUCGUG